GCAUUCAGCACGUGGCUCCCCUUGUCUCCAGGCAGAGCAGGGCCUGGCAGGGCUUGCUCCAGGACGCUCUGUGGCGCUCCUGAAGCCACCAGGGCCUUCGCAGGGUGUCCUCCAGCGCCCUCUAGUGGUCUGCAGAGGCAGUGGUGCUUCGAAGCUGCAACUUCAAGUUGGGGCACAGAGCUCAGCUACAGGCUUCCAACCUUGCAGUUAGUGGAUACUAUCCUGUCACUUCCUUAACUAAAAUAAAUGCUUUAAGACCCUGCAUAAGUGAUCUUUUUUCAAGGGUCUUCUAAGCAGGACUCUAAACUCACUGGGGUGGCCUGGAGAGGGGACUUAGUUUAUAAGAACUCCAGAAGAAGGCUGCUCCUGAGUUCACUUGUGUAAACCUCUGCACUUGCUCGGACAUGCGGAGACCCUGCUGGAGCCAUGUGUACAGCAGACACACUGCAGAUGUAUUUUUAUGAUAACCAAGAUCUAGUCAUUACUGAUCAAGGGGAUUUUCUGAAGUCUGAGCUUCACACACACAAACACAAUAUGCCCGGGGCUUGCAGGAAGCUGGGUUUUCCAGGACACUGCACAACACCCCCAAGGAGGAAGCUGUGGCUUUGCUGCUCCUGAGCUUGGCUCACGAACCAGGACCUUGUAAACACUGCCUUAAAUGGAAGCGCACAGGUCCUUGGCACAUCCUUCAGGAAUGUACGUUUGAGUGUGAGAGACAGGCAGCCAUGGACCAAGGAUUCAGCUUCUUUCUCAAUUCUGGCAGGACUGAGGGAACCAAGGGGCUGCAGAACAGAUGUGCUAAGAUGUGCUGCCUGUCCUCCUGCUACCUGAAGCCACCUGCAACCUCCUAUCCAUGGCUGAAGACCCUGAGAAUGCAGGGCAGGAGUGUCAGUUUUUCCAACAACUUCAUCCAACAUUUGGACAAGGAUUUGAGGCCUUCAAGGAAGCUGUCAAGAGGUUACUAAGGAUCUCUUAGUGGAACUUCUUGCUCAGGCUCUCUAGAACAGGCUCGCCCACAGGACUUCUGCCCACCCUCAUACCAGGCGCCCUGGAACGCAGGUGCGGGUGGUUCUGGGCACUCCCACCACCUCACGGGACC